CAGCAGCCGCGGUAAUACGUAAGGGCCGAGCGUUGUCCGGAAUCAUUGGGCGUAAAGGGUACGUAGGCGGACUAAUAAGUUAGAAGUUAAAGGCUAUAGCUCAACUAUAGUAAGCUUUUAAAACUGUUAGCCUUGAGUAAUUGAGGGGAAAGUGGAAUUCCUAGUGUAGCGGUGAAAUGCGUAGAUAUCGGGAGGAACACCAGUGGCGAAGGCGACUACCUGGACGACAACUGACGCUGAGGCACGAAAGCUAGGGGAGCAAACAGGAUUAGAUACCCUGGUAGUCCUAGCCGUAAACGAUGGGUACUAGGUGUAGGUGGUUUCGAUACCAUCUGUGCCGCAGUUAACGCAAUAAGUACCCCGCCUGGGGAGUACGUGCGCAACAUGAAACUCAAAGGAAUUGACGG
rnacentral:rRNA from 1 species